CCUACGGGUGGCAGCAGUGGGGAAUAUUGGACAAUGGGCGAAAGCCUGAUCCAGCCAUGCCGCGUGUGUGAAGAAGGCCUUCGGGUUGUAAAGCACUUUCAGUGGGGAAGAAAGCCUUGGGGCUAAUACCCUCGAGGAAGGACAUCACCCACAGAAGAAGCACCGGCUAACUCCGUGCCAGCAGCCGCGGUAAUACGGAGGGUGCGAGCGUUAAUCGGAAUUACUGGGCGUAAAGCGCGCGUAGGCGGUCUGAUAAGCCGGUUGUGAAAGCCCCGGGCUCAACCUGGGAACGGCAUCCGGAACUGUCAGGCUAGAGUGCAUGAGAGGAAGGUAGAAUUCCCGGUGUAGCGGUGAAAUGCGUAGAGAUCGGGAGGAAUACCAGUGGCGAAGGCGGCCUUCUGGACUGACACUGACGCUGAGGUGCGAAAGCGUGGGUAGCAAACAGGAUUAGAUACCCCGUAGUC
rnacentral:rRNA from 1 species